rnacentral:rRNA from 1 species
UACGUAGGGGGCUAGCGUUGUCCGGAAUCAUUGGGCGUAAAGCGCGUGUAGGCGGUCCGGUAAGUCCGCUGUGAAAGUCGGGGGCUCAACCCUCGGAUGCCGGUGGAUACUGUCGGGCUAGAGUGCGGAAGAGGCGAGUGGAAUUCCUGGUGUAGCGGUGAAAUGCGCAGAUAUCAGGAGGAACACCUAUUGCGAAGGCAGCUCGCUGGGACGUAACUGACGCUGGAGACGCGAAAGCGUGGGGGGCAAACAGG